rnacentral:rRNA from 1 species
GACGAACGCUGGCGGCGUGCUUAACACCUGCAAGUCGUAACGGUGACGAGGAGCUUGCUCCUCCGAUCAGUGGCGAACGGGUGAGUAACACGUGAGUAACCUGCCCCAGACUCUGGGAUAACAGUUGGAAACAGCUGCUAAUACCGGAUACGAGACGGAGAGGCAUCUCUACCGUCUGGAAAGUUUUUCGGUCUGGGAUGGACUCGCGGCCUAUCAGCUUGUGGUGAGGUAAUGGCUCACCAAGGCGACGACGGGUAGCCGGGCCUGAGAGGGCGACCGGCCACACUGGGACUGAGACACGGCCCAGACUCCUACGGGAGGCAGCAGU